UUUAAAGAGAGUUUGAUCCUGGCUCAGGACGAACGCUGGCGGCGUGCCUAAUACAUGCAAGUCGAACGAACGGAGGAAGAGCUUGCUCUUCCAAAGUUAGUGGCGGACGGGUGAGUAACACGUGGGCAACCUGCCUGUAAGUUGGGGAUAACUCCGGGAAACCGGGGCUAAUACCGAAUGAUAAGAUGUGGCGCAUGCCACGCCUUUGAAAGAUGGUUUCGGCUAUCGCUUACAGAUGGGCCCGCGGUGCAUUAGCUAGUUGGUAGGGUAAUGGCCUACCAAGGCAACGAUGCAUAGCCGACCUGAGAGGGUGAUCGGCCACACUGGGACUGAGACACGGCCCAGACUCCUACGGGAGGCAGCAGUAGGGAAUCUUCCGCAAUGGACGAAAGUCUGACGGAGCAACGCCGCGUGUAUGAAGAAGGUUUUCGGAUCGUAA
rnacentral:rRNA from 1 species